rnacentral:rRNA from 1 species
CAGUCGCCGCGGUAAUACGAAGGGUGCAAGCGUUAAUCGGAAUUACUGGGCGUAAAGCGUGCGUAGGCGGUGAGUUAAGUCUGCUGUGAAAUCCCCGGGCUUAACCUGGGAAUGGCAAUGGAUACUGGCAAGCUAGAGUGUGUCAGAGGAUGGUGGAAUUCCCGGUGUAGCGGUGAAAUGCGUAGAGAUCGGGAGGAACAUCAGUGGCGAAGGCGGCCAUCUGGGACAACACUGACGCUGAGGCACGAAAGCGUGGGGAGCAAACAGGAUUAGAGACCCCCGUAGUCCCUGUCUCUUAUAC